rnacentral:rRNA from 1 species
AGUGAACGCUGGCGGUAGGCCUAACACAUGCAAGUCGAACGGCAGCACAGUAAGAGCUUGCUCUUACGGGUGGCGAGUGGCGGACGGGUGAGGAAUACAUCGGAAUCUACUUUUUCGUGGGGGAUAACGUAGGGAAACUUACGCUAAUACCGCAUACGACCUACGGGUGAAAGCAGGGGAUCUUCGGACCUUGCGCGAUUGAAUGAGCCGAUGUCGGAUUAGCUAGUUGGCGGGGUAAAGGCCCACCAAGGCGACGAUCCGUAGCUGGUCUGAGAGGAUGAUCAGCCACACUGGACCUGAGACACGGUCCAGACUCCUAGGGGGGGCAGCAGUGGGGAAUAUUGGACAAUGGGCGCAAGCCGGAUCCAGCCAUACCGCGUGGGUGAAGAAGGCCUUCGGGUUGUAAAGCCCUUUUGUUGGGAAAGAAAAGCAGCAGGUUAAUACCCCGCUGUUCUGACGGUACCCAAAGAAUAAGCACCGGCUAACUUCGUG